CUACACAAACAUGUUUAUCACUACUAUGCAUCAAACUAGUAACCCUAACUAUGAUAUUUUGUAAAACAACCGCAUUAUAGUUAUCAUAACUAUGUUUUGUUUACUAUUUAUACUAUUGCGCAUAGUAGUUUCAGCUGUGCAGCGUUUUUACGAAAAUAACUUUUCCCUUCUUCCAUAUUGGAAUUUUGACAAUCUCGAUUACCAGUUUUCGGACGGUUUAAACUGAACUAAGCAAUGAACUGUACUGGAUAUUUUGUGAUAAUGUUGCUGCUCAUUGCAACAUAGGUGAGGAGCUGCCUUAUAAGACCAUUUCAUAUGGCAAACUGAACAAAUUCUGCCGCAUACGGAAAAUGUUUUGCUAUCACCACUUCCGCAACCAUCCACGGAAAAGGUUGAAGAGACUUUUCCCGAGCUUCCCUCGGAUCAAAACCUUCCGAACGGAUGCCGCUGCUGCCGUUGUAGAAUCCACAGGACCUCACAACUGAAGGACACAUAGAAUGGUUUGUCUUCUGUUGCAGCGCAAAUUCAGAAGGAAUUCCGGAUUAAGCAUUACACCUCGGAAUUCUAACGUUAUGCAGCCGUUUUCCCAGUCGUAUGAAUUCUCCGGAAAAUUGAUUUAAUGAAAAAAAAAAGCAUGACGUAAAACGAUAAUAAAAAAUCUUACUGAA